AACGAACGCUGGCGGCAUGCCUAACACAUGCAAGUCGAACGAGACCUUCGGGUCUAGUGGCGCACGGGUGCGUAACGCGUGGGAAUCUACCCUUGGGUUCGGAAUAACAGUUAGAAAUGACUGCUAAUACCGGAUGAUGACGUAAGUCCAAAGAUUUAUCGCCCAAGGAUGAGCCCGCGUAAGAUUAGCCUGUUGGUGGGGUAAUGGCCUACCAAGGCGACGAUCUUUAGCUGGUCUGAGAGGAUGAUCAGCCACACUGGGACUGAGACACGGCCCAGACUCCUACGGGAGGCAGCAGUGGGGAAUAUUGGACAAUGGGCGAAAGCCUGAUCCAGCAAUGCCGCGUGAGUGAUGAAGGCCUUAGGGUUGUAAAGCUCUUUUACCAGGGAUGAUAAUGACAGUACCUAGAGAAUAAGCUCCGGCUAACUCCGUGCCAGCCGCCGCAGUAA
rnacentral:rRNA from 1 species